rnacentral:rRNA from 1 species
GAUGAACGCUGGCGGCGUGCCUAAUACAUGCAAGUCGAACGAAACUUCUUUAUCACCGAGUGCUUGCACUUACCGAUAAACAGUUGAGUGGCGAACGGGUGAGUAACACGUGGGCAACCUGCCCAAAAGUGGGGGAUAACACUUGGAAACAGGUUCUAAUACCCCAUAACCAUAAUUACCGCAUGGUACCUUUGUCAAAGGUGGCUAUAGUACCGCUUUUGGAUGGGCCCGCGGCGCAUUAGCUAGUUGGUCGGGUAAAGGCUUACCAAGGCAAUGAUGCGUAGCCGAACUGAGAGGUUGAUCGGCCACAUUGGGACUGAGACACGGCCCAAACUCCUACGGGAGGCAGCAGUAGGGAAUCUUCCACAAUGGGCGAAAGCCUGAUGGAGCAACGCCGCGUGGGUGAAGAAGGUCUUCGGAUCGUAAAACCCUGUUGUUAGGGAAGAAAGGGCGUGAGAGUAACUGUUCACGUUUCGACGGUACCUAACCAGAAAGCCACGGCUAACUACGUG